UACGGAGGGAGCUAGCGUUGUUCGGAAUUACUGGGCGUAAAGCGCGUGUAGGCGGUUGCCAUAGUCAGGUGGGAAAGCCUUGAGCUUAACUCAAGAAAUGCACUUGAUACUGGGCGACUAGAGGACCGGAGAGGAUAGUGGAAUUCCCAGUGUAGUGGUGAAAUACGUAGAGAUUGGGAAGAACACCAGUGGCGAAGGCGGCUAUCUGGACGGUUACUGACGCUAAGACGCGAAAGCGUGGGGAGCAAACAGG
rnacentral:rRNA from 1 species